CACGUAGGGCGCGAGCGUUGUCCGGAAUUAUUGGGCGUAAAGAGCUCGUAGGCGGCCUGUUGCGUCCGCUGUGAAAGCCCGGGGCUUAACCCCGGGUCGGCAGUGGAUACGGGCAGGCUAGAGGUAGGUAGGGGAGACUGGAAUUCCUGGUGUAGCGGUGAAGUGCGCAGAUAUCAGGAGGAACACCGAUGGCGAAGGCAGGUCUCUGGGCAUUAACUGACGCUGAGGAGCGAAAGCAUGGGGAGCGAACAGG
rnacentral:rRNA from 1 species